rnacentral:rRNA from 1 species
UCGAGUCGUCGGGAUUUCACUAAACCCGUAGGCGAAGCGAAAACGAAAACGAAACACUUGGUCGCCGCAAGCCCGCCUCGUGAAGGGGAGAUCCGUUUCCUCGGAACCGGCGCAUCCUCGGGGCGGCCCGAACAGUCGAAUGAGACUCGGCACGCACCAAGAGAAGUCGUGAUGAGACCCGAAAGAUGGUGAUCUAUGCCUGGCCAGGACGAANCCGGGGAAAACCCUGGUGGAGGUCCGCAGCGGUUCUGACGUNCAAAUCGAUCGUCGGAGCUGGGUAUAGGGGCGAAAGAC